rnacentral:sRNA from 1 species
ACUCCGGUGCCUCCGGGUCUGGGCUGGGCCGCAAAGGGCGGGGCCUGGGCCCGGCGCGGGCCGGGAGCAGAGGCCGAGACCCUGCAGGUGAUUCCUGGGGCUGCCAGCUAAGGUCCCUUAUGAUUUCUGCUCUGGCUUUGCAGUUUUCAGCCUUUCCCAAGAGCAGCAGAAAAUGAACAAGUUCCAGGGACCCGUGACAUUAAAGGAUGUUAUUGUGGAAUUCACCAAGGAGGAAUGGAAGUUACUGACCCCUGCUCAGAGGACUCUGUAUAAAGAUGUGAUGCUGGAAAACUAUAGUCACCUGGUCUCAGUGGGUUACCAUGUGAAUAAGCCAAAUGCAGUCUUCAAGUUGAAGCAAGGAAAAGAGCCAUGGAUAUUAGAAGUAGAAUUUCCACAUCGGGGCUUCCCUGAAGACCUAUGGAGCAUUCAUGAUCUAGAAGCAAGAUACCAGGAAAGCCAAGCUGGAAAUUCAAGUGUAGGUCAGAGAAUGCUCACAGUGGAGAAACCCUAUGGAUCCAGUAAAUAUGGGAACAUCUCUAGAAAUCAGUCCUCAGAGGAAUGGAGAACUCACAAAACAUCAGAAAACUCGUACCACAGAGAAAGCCUGUGAAUGUAAGGAAUGUGGGAAGUUCUUCUGCCAGAAGUCUGCCCUCAUAGUACAUCAGCAUACUCACUCAAAGGGCAAAUCC